rnacentral:rRNA from 1 species
GGGCCCGCACAAGCGGUGGAGUAUGUGGUUUAAUUCGAAGCAACGCGCAGAACCUUACCAACCCUUGACAUCCUCGGACCGCCAGAGAGAUCUGGCUUUCACUUCGGUGACCGAGUGACAGGUGCUGCAUGGCUGUCGUCAGCUCGUGUCGUGAGAUGUUCGGUUAAGUCCGGCAACGAGCGCAACCCACAUCCUUAGUUGCCAGCAGUUCGACUGGGCACUCUAGGGAAACUGCCCGUGAUAAGCGGGAGGAAGGUGUGGAUGACGUCAAGUCCUCAUGGCCCUUACGGGUUGGGCUACACACGUGCUACAAUGGCAGUGACAAUGGGUUAAUCCCAAAAAACUGUCUCAGUUCGGAUUGGAGUCUGCAACUCGACUCCAUGAAGUCGGAAUCGCUAGUAAUCG